UGCUAUGAUGGUGUAAUUUGCGUCUUACUCUGCGUGCAGUGACGGUUUGCCUACUGUCUUAUAGCUGGCGCAGUGGGCUGACGAGAACGUGAUUCUGAGCA
ensembl:snoRNA SNORD16 Small nucleolar RNA SNORD16